rnacentral:lncRNA from 1 species
AGUAAGAGCAAAAUGAGCCCCUUCAGAGAGUGCUGCAUGUCCAUGUCGGCAUUCUGGUGACCUGUUCUUAAGCCCCAGGCAGCAGUUUCUGCUUGAGCGUGUAGCAAGUUCUACUACAUCACAGUUGGAGACAUGGGGGGCAGCAAACAAACCCUGCAUGUUGACUGUGUCCUCGGUUAGUUCCAGCUCUUACACAUCAUAGAGUCAUAGAACCAGAGAAUCAUAGACAGUCUAGAGCUGGAAGGUACCUUAAAUAUGUUCUAGCUCCAACCAAUCUAUCAUGGAUGAGCAUGCUCCCUCAGCCUCUCCUCAUAGGAGAGAUGUUGCAGUCCCUAGUGAUAUCAGUCUUACUCCAAAGUUAUGGUACCAAGGAGCAAUAAUUCAGAAAUUCUUGGUUUCUGCCUAUAGAAAGAUAAGAAGACAUCCAGUUUAUUAUUGGAAAGUUCCCCUCCUUUUUGAGUCUCAAGAAGUUGGAAACAAUUCCUCCAUGGCCCAUUUUUGUGCUACAUAAAAAAAUGAAUCCUGGUUCUUUUUCCCUUUUAAAAUUAACAUACUGCAAACAAUUACCACACUGCUCACAAGUCAGGUAGGUCUAAACACAUUUUUAACUUUGAUGCUUUAGAAUACUGAUGGCCAUUCCUUGGAAGUUCAAUUUUGUUUAUUUCCUACUUCCAAUUUCUAUUGAUUUUCAAUGACCAAGGGCCAUGGUUUUGUAAUGUCAUUCUCCAAUUUAGUGCUCACACUAUAACCUUCACUCACCUCCCUUACCCCCUUCAACUGGGUACACAAAAGGCAAAGAUCAUGGGUUCAGAGAAGGGCAAUUUAUUUGAAACAGCAAUGAGAUAAGAAAAUGAACAGUAACAGCAAAAAUAUUAAUAACAAAAUGUAUAAGACAAAGAAAAGAUUUAUACAAAAAUCCCCCCAAAAUAAACAAAUACCCAUUUUUGCA